UACGUAGGGUGCAAGCGUUGUCCGGAAUUAUUGGGCGUAAAGAGCUCGUAGGCGGUCUGUCGCGUCGGCUGUGAAAACCCGGGGCUCAACCCCGGGCCUGCAGUCGAUACGGGCAGACUAGAGUGCGGUAGGGGAGACUGGAAUUCCUGGUGUAGCGGUGAAAUGCGCAGAUAUCAGGAAGAACACCGGUGGCGAAGGCGGCUCUCUGGGCCUUACCUGACGCUGAGGAGCGAAAGCGUGGGUAGCGAACAGG
rnacentral:rRNA from 1 species